rnacentral:rRNA from 1 species
ACGGAGGGUGCGAGCGUUGUCCGGAAUCACUGGGCGUAAAGAGUACGUAGGCGGUUGUUUAAGUCAGCUGUGAAAUCUCGGGGCUCAACUCCGAACCUGCAGUUGAGACUGGACAACUGGAGCACGGUAGGGGCAAGUGGAAUUCCCGGUGUAGCGGUGGAAUGCGUAGAUAUCGGGAAGAACAUCGGUGGCGAAGGCGACUUGCUGGGCCGGUGCUGACGCUGAGGUACGAAAGCGUGGGGAGCAAACAGG